GAGAAAGAUAAGAUGUCAAAUCUAUCAUAAGUAAGCGGUCACUCGACUAGGGAUCAGAGGUGAUCAGAAAAGACACGUCACAAUAUCAAAAUGAUUGGAUUGAAAAUCGAAUCAUUUUUGGUCAUUUUUGUCAUUUCUCUUCCGUAUAUAUCCGGCAAUGAGAGCCCUGUGGCAUCGACAGAAGUGCUACUGAAAAUUCCUUCAUUCUGUUACGCAUGCCAUUCGAUUUCCCUCCCACUCUCUAUUAAAGUCGAUCCAGCGAGAGCAGGAUUCCUGGGGAGGUCAAACCUUAGAAGUAGAUUUUCAGAAGCUAAAUUCUACACAGUUGUGUCCACGAAUGGUUACCUGAAUUCAGAGUUCGGGACCAAUACCCUCCCAUAUGUUGGCUUCUGCAUGAAUAAGUUUCAAUAUGAUGAAGACGGUUGGGAUCGGCAGAAAUGGUUCGCCUGGAAAUGCGACAAGGAGCACGAUCAGUGUUACACAGUAGUUUACACCGCAACUGUCAACACGACGUACUCAGAAGUGAUAGCCAACAGCAACACGACCGUCGCGAAAUCGAAAAUCGAUAAGUACAAUGGUUACAUUCGAGGAUGUGUGGACUCGACCAAGAACGCAUCAUUUUGCAAUUCAACAUUUACGGGAAAUGAUACGGGCCGCGGACAAGGACAACCAUGGGACGUCGUUUUUGAUGGAGAGGUUCGUUGCUGUCAAGGAAGCAACUGUAAUACGUUUGUUACUUCUCAGUCCGGGGCUGCCGGCUUGAGAUAUGUGCCUGUCCAAGCAUUUAUUUGUUACUUUGUUAGCUUGCUGGCAGGAGUACAUCUUCUCUCGUGGCAAGGCGACCGGGUUGUGGUGGCGAUCUAGACGGUGUAAAAUGUUUUUAUGCAAAAACAUCUUGGUUACAAUGUUUCAUUUCUAUAAUGGAUUAUGUAUUAGCCUCGUUCACGUGGCCAGAGGGGUUUUUGGUGAGACUACCAUAACCUCUUGGGCAGGUGUGAAAUGUAUCGAAGCAGGUGUAGUUGUUUUAAAGGAGAAAGUAAUAUGUACCUCACUGUCGGUAUUGGUUGUCUCACCAGACACCACUCGGGUCGAAUUGUCAUUGCUACCGCUUCGGUUCAUUCGGGUAUGUCCGCGGGGAUUGGAGAAGCUGAUUAGUCAGCCAGGGUGGAUACGAUACACAUUGUAUACCUCAUCAGCUAUUUAAUAAUUACAGAGUUCACGUGUAGGGGGCAAUGCAGAUAAACAUCCAGAAUUGUGAACAAACAGUCCAUAGAAUGAUUGCCAGCAUUUCCUGAUACAUGUAUAUACAAGAUCCGGCCUCCAUACCUGAACGCAGUAACCUUUAUUCAAUCGAGACACUCAAAUGUUCAGAAUCCGUCCAAUUGGAAUCUGUCCAUUGAAAAACCUGCCGUUGGACCGGUGGCAGAGAGAGAAUCCAUUUGCAACAGUUGCUCGGCAUUGGACCAAUGAAACAGUCAACCUGCGUUGGUAUUGGACAAGCGGCAGAUAUGACGACGCCUUUGCAUGACUGUCAUCUGCAGGAUAUAAAAUUCACGCCAGUUGGCGCGACAGGAAGAGUCAUCCACCACUAUAAUUCUUUCGUGCGCAGCAAAGAUUUACCAUCCUGUAUUAACAAGGUGUCAAUGUUUUUAAUGUUGCCAAGGUUACCCCAAAGCCGUAACGGAUGCCUUUCCGGGCAAGAAAUGUCUGACUCCGGUUGGCGUGCGGUUCUUACUGUUUUCUUGAGACGUAUGUUGGAUAUCACCAACAUUGUAUCAUAAGAGUGUUGUCUCAGGAAAGCGGAGGAGCUCAGUAUAUUAUGAUAACGAAAUGAGUGGAUUGAAAAUCGUAUGUUUUUCAGCCGUUUUUGUUCUUUUCCCUCCGUAUUCAACCAGCGAUGCGAACCUCGUCGAAACGACAAAAGCGCCGCCAAAAGCGCCUUUAUUCUGUUACACUUGCCAUGCGGUUUCCCUGCCACUGCCUGUGAGUGAAGAUUCCGCAGUGGUAGGGUUUGAGGGGAGGCAACACGUCUAUGACGAUGUGCUAUCUGAAGCUGCAUUCUACAAACAAGUAUCAACAAGUGGUUACCUGAAUUCAGAGUUCGGAACCAAUACCCUCCCUUAUAUUGGCUACUGCAUAAAUAAGUUCGAAUAUGAUGAAGACGGUUGGGAUCGGCAGAAAUGGUUCGCCUGGAAAUGCGACAACGAGCACGACCAGUGUUACACAGUGGUUUACGCUGCAACUGUGCAUGUCGAGAAUGAAACCUCAGCGACCACGACCAUUCACAAUCAUACAGGUUACAUUCGAGGAUGUACGGACUCGACCAAGAAUGCAUCAUUCUGUAAUUCAACAUUUACGGGAAAUGAUACGGGUCGCGGACAAGGACAACCAUGGGACGUCGUUUUUGAUGGAGAGGUUCGUUGCUGUCAAGGAAGCAACUGUAAUACGUUUGUUACUUCUCAGUCCGGGGCUGCCGGCUUGAGAGAUGUGCCUGUCCAAGCAUUUAUUUGUUACUUUGUUGCUAGCUUGCUGGUACAUCUACUUCCAUCACGGCGAAGUGUCAUCCGGGUCGCGUCGUCGUGGGCUUAGACCCCCGAGUGAUCAUGUCAACAAUUCCUCCAGUAUGAGUAUCGCAACUUCGGAUUAUUUCGGUAAGAUUGUCCUCCGUGUUAUUUUGGGAUAGUUUCUGAGAAGUCUAAGAUUGUAUCAUUUUAUCAGGGUUUGACCAAAGUGUUGGUGAUAUACAUAAAUUUCCGGGCACUUUCUCCAGGAGGGAGGCGAGCAGUUGCUACUGCCACAACGGUAUAUCCAUCGAUGUAGACUCCAUCGAUGUAUCCAUCGAUGUAACCUAUCCGAACGGACUGUGUAGUGUUUCAGAUGAUGAGGAUGUUGUGGUUUGGAUAUGCGUGUUAAGGACGAAGUUGGUCAUUGCUGUCGCCUGCGGGAGAAAGGCGAACAAUCUGUCAUCUCCAGCAGGUUGCAUGACGUGAGAAACUCACUGUAUGAUUGAAAACAAAUGGAACGCCAACUGAGAUAAUGGUGCAGAGCAAUGUGGAAUGAUCUGCACCCGAUUUGCUCAUUCAUUCCAAUGUGCAUCUCCUGUCAAACUUCACUUUGCCAGACAACUCUCCCGUGGACACAGACCCCACUGUCCUUGCUCAGCCUGCCACACUCCCAAGGAAGAGGGGGCAUAUGUGCGCAGAGGACAGCAGGUAUUAUAUCUACAGAUGAAGAAGAAGCGUUUUUUAUAAUCAAUUUGGUGAUUUAUUACCCAGCAGUAUGAAAAUGUGUUACAGACUAAACAGUACAUUGGAAGAAUGGUACUGAAGAAGACUGGUUGGGACAUCCUUCAAGGAAACUAGCUACUACCGCUAGGUGUCAGCACUAUAGUUUAAAUGUGUAUGAACAGUCAAAAUUUCCAAUGCAUUUUCCAAUGAUUCACACAAAUAGCAUUUUACAUUGAAACUCUUCGAUUUUUCUUUCUAGCACAAAUUUCGUUAGCAUACGUACAAGGCCUUACAAUGUCAAUCAUAGAAUGCUUUUAUCAAA